rnacentral:rRNA from 1 species
CCUACGGGGGGCAGCAGUGGGGAAUAUUGGACAAUGGGGGGAACCCUGAUCCAGCCAUGCCGCGUGUGUGAAGAAGGCCCUCGGGUUGUAAAGCACUUUCAGUGAGGAAGAACGCCUGGUGGUUAAUACCCACCAGGAAAGACAUCACUCACAGAAGAAGCACCGGCUAACUCCGUGCCAGCAGCCGCGGUAAUACGGAGGGUGCGAGCGUUAAUCGGAAUUACUGGGCGUAAAGCGCGCGUAGGUGGCUUGAUAAGCCGGUUGUGAAAGCCCCGGGCUCAACCUGGGAACGGCAUCCGGAACUGUCAAGCUAGAGUGCAGGAGAGGAAGGUAGAAUUCCCGGUGUAGCGGUGAAAUGCGUAGAGAUCGGGAGGAAUACCAGUGGCGAAGGCGGCCUUCUGGACUGACACUGACACUGAGGUGCGAAAGCGUGGGUAGCAAACAGGAUUAGAUACCCUAGUAGUC